rnacentral:rRNA from 1 species
AGAGUUUGAUCCUGGCUCAGAACGAACGUUGGCGGCGUGGAUUAGGCAUGCAAGUCGUACGAGAAAGUCACCUUCGGGUGGCGAGUAAAGUGGCGAACGGGUGAGUAACGCGUGGGAAACCUGCCCUCUGAGAUGGGGAUAACACUCCUAACGGGGUGCUAAUACCGAAUGAGACCACGAAGCUGCAUGGCUUUGAGGUUAAAGGUGGCCUCUACUUGUAAGCUACCGCUUGAGGAUGGUCCCGCGUCCCAUUAGCUAGUUGGUGGGGUAAUGGCCUACCAAGGCUCCGAUGGGUAGCUGGUCUGAGAGGAUGGUCAGCCACACUGGGACUGAGAUACGGCCCAGACUCCUACGGGAGGCAGCAGUCGAGAGGCUUCGGCAAUGGGGGAAACCCUGACCGAGCGACGCCGCGUGGGCGAUGAAGGCCGUAAGGUUGUAAAGCCCUGUCAGGAGGGAAGAACGCAAACGUGCGAACAGUGCGUUUGCUUGACGGUACCUCCAGAGGAAGCUCCGGCUAACUCCGUGCCAGCAGCCGCGGUAAUACGGGGGGAGCAAACGUUGUUCGGAAUCACUGGGCGUAAAGGGCGCGCAGGCGGCUCGGUUAGUGAAAUGUGAAAUGCCCUGGCUUAACCAGGGAACUGCAUUUCAUACUGCCGAGCUUGAGUAUAGGAGAGGAUGGGGGAAUUCCCGGUGUAUCGGUGGAAUGCAUUGAUAUCGGGAGGAACACCAGUGGCGAAGGCGCCCAUCUGGCCUAAUACUGACGCUCAGGCGCGAAAGCUAGGGGAGCAAACAGGAUUAGAUACCCUGGUAGUCCUAGCCGUAAACGGUGAGCACUAGGUGUAGGAAGUAUCGACCCUUCCUGUGCCGCAGCUAACGCAUUAAGUGCUCCGCCUGGGGAGUACGACCGCAAGGUUGAAACUCAAAGGAAUUGACGGGGGCCCGCACAAGCGGUGGAGCAUGUGGUUUAAUUCGAUGCAACGCGAAGAACCUUACCCAGACUUGACAUGUGCCGGACAGGUGUGGAAACACACCCUCCCUUCGGGGCCGGUGCACAGGUGCUGCAUGGCUGUCGUCAGCUCGUGUCGUGAGAUGUUGGGUUAAGUCCCGCAACGAGCGCAACCCUUGUCCUUAGUUGCCAGCAAGUAAAGUUGGGCACUCUAAGGAGACUGCCGUCGCUAAGGCGGAGGAAGGUGGGGAUGACGUCAAGUCCUCAUGGUCCUUACGUCUGGGGCUACACACGUGCUACAAUGGCCGGUACAAAGGGUCGCAAUACCGCGAGGUGGAGCCAAUCCCAAAAAACCGGUCUCAGUUCGGAUUGCAGUCUGCAACUCGACUGCAUGAAGGUGGAAUCGCUAGUAAUCGCUGAUCAGCAGGCAGCGGUGAAUAUGUUCCCGGGCCUCGUACACACCGCCCGUCAAGCCACGUAAGUCUGCAGUACCCAAAGUCGCUAUCCCAACCGUAAGGAAGGAAGCGCCUAAGGUAAGGCCGGUGAUUGGGGCUAAGUCGUAACAAGGUA